rnacentral:rRNA from 1 species
ACGUAGGCAGCGAGCGUUGUUCGGAAUUACUGGGCGUAAAGAGUGUGUAGGCGGUGCUCCCAGUCUGUUGUGAAAUCUCCCGGCUUAACUGGGAGGGUGCAGCGGAAACUAGAGUGCUAGAGGGUGGGAGAGGUAAGCGGAAUUCCUGGUGUAGCGGUGAAAUGCGUAGAUAUCGAGAGGAACACCGGUGGCGAAAGCGCACGUCUGGCCCGAUACUGACGCUGAUGCGCGAAAGCUAGGGGAGCAAACGGGA